UACGUAGGCAGCAAGCGUUGUUCGGAGUUACUGGGCGUAAAGGGUGCGUAGGCGGCUUUUUAAGUUUGGUGUGAAAUCUCCCGGCUCAACUGGGAGGGUGCGCCGAAUACUGAGAGGCUAGAGUGUGGGGAGAGGAAAGUGGAAUUCCUGGUGUAGCGGUGAAAAUGCGUAGAUAUCAGGAGGAACACCGGUGGUGUAAACGGCUUUCUGGACCAUAACUGACGCUGAUGCACGAAAGCGUGGGUAGCAAACAGG
rnacentral:rRNA from 1 species